GAUGAACGCUGGCGGCGUGCUUAACACAUGCAAGUCGAACGAAGCUGCCUGGAGGAAGUUUUCGGAUGGAAUUUAGGUAGACUUAGUGGCGGACGGGUGAGUAACGCGUGGAUAACCUGCCUUAUACAGGGGGAUAACGGAGAGAAAUCUCCGCUAACACCGCAUAAGACCACAGCACCGCAUGGUGCAGGGGUAAAAUAUUUAUAGGUAUAAGAUGGAUCCGCGUCCGAUUAGCUAGUUGGUGGGGUAAAGGCCCACCAAGGCGACGAUCGGUAGCCGGCCUGAGAGGGUGAACGGCCACAUUGGGACUGAGACACGGCCCAAACUCCUACGGGAGGCAGCAGUGGGGAAUAUUGGACAAUGGGGGAAACCCUGAUCCAGCGACGCCGCGUGAGUGAAGAAGUAUUUCGGUAUGUAAAGCUCUAUCAGCAGGGAAGAAAAUGACGGUACCUGACUAAGAAGCCCCGGCUAACUACGUGCCAGCAGCCGCGGUAAUACGUAGGGGGCAAGCGUUAUCCGGAUUUACUGGGUGUAAAGGGAGCGCAGACGGCAAUGCAAGUCUGAAGUGAAAGGCGUGGGCUCAACCCAUGAACUGCUUUGGAAACUGUAUAGCUUGAGUGUCGGAGGGGUAAGCGGAAUUCCUAGUGUAGCGGUGAAAUGCGUAGAUAUUAGGAGGAACACCGGAGGCGAAGGCGGCUUACUGGACGACAACUGACGUUGAGGCUCGAAGGCGUGAGGAGCAAACAGG
rnacentral:rRNA from 1 species